CGCUGGCGGCGUGCCUAACACAUGCAAGUCGAACGAGAAAGUGGAGCAAUCCAUGAGUAAAGUGGCGACCGGGUGAGUAACACGUGACUAACCUACCCUCGAGUGGGGAAUAACUCCGGGAAACCGGGGCUAAUACCGCAUAACAUCGCAAGAUCAAAGCAGCAAUGCGCUUGAGGAGGGGGUCGCGGCUGAUUAGCUAGUUGGCGGGGUAACGGCCCACCAAGGCGAAGAUCGGUAUCCGGCCUGAGAGGGCGCACGGACACACUGGAACUGAAACACGGUCCAGACUCCUACGGGAGGCAGCAGUGGGGAAUUUUGCGCAAUGGGGGAAACCCUGACGCAGCAACGCCGCGUGGAGGAUGAAGCCCUUUGGGGCGUAAACUCCUUUCGACUCGGACGAUAAUGACGGUACGAGUGGAAGAAGCACCGGCUAACUCUGUGCCAGCAGCCGCGGUAAUACAGAGGGUGCGAGCGUUGUUCGGAAUUAUUGGGCGUAAAGGGCGCGUAGGCGGUGCGGUAAGUCACCUGUGAAAUCUCCUGNCUUAACUGGGAGCCUGCAGGCGAAACUACCGUGCUGGAGUGUGGGAGAGGUGCGUGGAAUUCCCGGUGUACCGGUGAAAUGCGUA
rnacentral:rRNA from 1 species